GUGCUGUAGCUCAGUGGUAGAGUGCUUGCCUAGCAUGCAUGAGGCACUGGGUUCAAUCCUCAGAACGACAUA
rnacentral:tRNA from 1 species